UAGGGAAUCUUCCACAAUGGACGAAAGUCUGAUGGAGCAACGCCGCGUGUGUGAUGAAGGGUUUCGGCUCGUAAACACUGUUGUAAGAGAAGAAUGACAUUGAGAGUAACUGUUCAAUGUGUGACGGUAUCUUACCAGAAAGGAACGGCUAAAUACGUGCCAG
rnacentral:rRNA from 1 species